AGAGUUUGAUCAUGGCUCAGGACGAACGCUGGCGGCGUGCUUAACACAUGCAAGUCGAGCGAUGAAGUUUCCUUCGGGAAAUGGAUUAGCGGCGGACGGGUGAGUAACACGUGGGUAACCUGCCUCAUAGAGGGGAAUAGCCUUUCGAAAGGAAGAUUAAUACCGCAUAAGAUUGUAAUGUCGCAUGACAUAGCAAUUAAAGGAGUAAUCCGCUAUGAGAUGGACCCGCGUCGCAUUAGCUAGUUGGUGAGGUAACGGCUCACCAAGGCGACGAUGCGUAGCCGACCUGAGAGGGUGAUCGGCCACAUUGGGACUGAGACACGGCCCAGACUCCUACGGGAGGCAGCAGUGGGGAAUAUUGCACAAUGGGGGAAACCCUGAUGCAGCAACGCCGCGUGAGUGAUGACGGUCUUCGGAUUGUAAAGCUCUGUCUUUAGGGACGAUAAUGACGGUACCUAAGGAGGAAGCCACGGCUAACUACGUGCCAGCAGCCGCGGUAAUACGUAGGUGGCAAGCGUUGUCCGGAUUUACUGGGCGUAAAGGGAGCGUAGGUGGAUAUUUAAGUGGGAUGUGAAAUACCCGGGCUUAACCUGGGUGCUGCAUUCCAAACUGGAUAUCUAGAGUGCAGGGGAGGAAAGGAGAAUUCCUAGUGUAGCGGUGAAAUGCGUAGAGAUUAGGAAGAAUACCAGUGGCGAAGGCGCCUUUCUGGACUGUAACUGACACUGAGGCUCGAAAGCGUGGGGAGCAAACAGGAUUAGAUACCCUGGUAGUCCACGCCGUAAACGGUGAAUACUAGGUGUGGGGGUUGUCAUGACCUCCGUGCCGCCGCUAACGCAUUAAGUAUUCCGCCUGGGGAGUACGGUCGCAAGAUUAAAACUCAAAGGAAUUGACGG
rnacentral:rRNA from 1 species